rnacentral:rRNA from 1 species
GACGAACGCUGGCGGCGUGCUUAACACAUGCAAGUCGAACGGAAAGGCCCAGCUUGCUGGGUGCUCGAGUGGCGAACGGGUGAGUAACACGUGGGUGAUCUGCCCCUAACUUCGGGAUAAGCUUGGGAAACUGGGUCUAAUACCGGAUAGGACAAUCGUUUAGUGUCGGUUGUGGAAAGUUUUUUCGGUUAGGGAUGAGCCCGCGGCCUAUCAGCUUGUUGGUGGGGUAAUGGCCUACCAAGGCGUCGACUGGUAGCCGGCCUGAGAGGGUGGACGGCCACAUUGGGCCUGAGAUACGGCCCAGACUCCUACGGGAGGCAGCAGUGGGGAAUAUUGCACAAUGGGCGCAAGCCUGAUGCAGCGACGCCGCGUGGGGGAUGACGGCCUUCGGGUUGUAAACCUCUUUCGACAGGGACGAAGCUUUGGUGACGGUACCUGUAUAAGAAGCACCGGCUAACUACGUG